rnacentral:rRNA from 1 species
GAUGAACGCUGGCGGCGUGCAUAACACAUUCAAGUCGAACGGACGAAGCCCUUCGGGGCCGAGUUAGUGGCGGACGGGUGAGUAACGCGUGAGCAACCUGCCCUUGUGUGGGGGACAACGUUUGGAAACGAACGCUAAUACCGCAUAACGUAUCUGAAUUGCAUGGUUUGGAUACCAAAGAUUUAUUGCGCAAGGAUGGGCUCGCGUUGGAUUAGAUAGUUGGUGGGGUAACGGCCUACCAAGUCGACGAUCCAUAGCCGGACUGAGAGGUUGAACGGCCACAUUGGAACUGAGAAACGGUCCAGACUCCUACGGGAGGCAGCAGUGGGGAAUAUUGGGCAAUGGGCGAAAGCCUGACCCAGCGACGCCGCGUGAGGGAAGAAGGUCUUCGGAUUGUAAACCUCUGUUGUAAGGGACGAAACAAAUGACGGUACCUUACGAGGAAGCCACGGCUAACUACGUGCCAGCCGCCGCCGUAAAAC